rnacentral:lncRNA from 1 species
CUUUGUUGGACGGAGUAAAUAGUAAGUUUUACAAACAACAUGGAACAGAGCAUUGCAAGGAAUCAAAUAUUUUAGUAGCAUUCCUUUCCCUUGUUUGUUUUACGAAAAAUAAAUCUCCGAUGAUGUGAGAGGACACACAAACUCUGAAUCCUACAAGACUAUAAUAGUGACGUCGCUACACGCACUAAUUCAGUAAUCAGAGAACCAGAGUGUGAUAUGCCUAGAUAUGAAUUUCAGCUUCGUUUUUCUGAAAUCUGAUGUUGUGUUGUUAUUGGAAAAAAAUCAUUUUUUGUGCAGACUUACUGCAAAUUUUCAAGUAAAAUACGAAGAACUAAACAAUCUCUGAAUAAGUAUGACUUUCCUAAUUUGGAGCCCUGAUGGGGAAGCUUUGAAGCCGGACAAUAAAAAUAGAAUAAUUUGUUGAGUCACUGAUGUCAUGGAUGACGUCAUUUCAUCCACGGCACUACGAUGUGCUGGUCCUUUGGUUACGACUCGGACGGUUGCCUCCUUAAUAGUGUGUUAAAAAAAAGCUUUCGACAAAAAAAAACAGCGGUUCAAACCGAACACGUACAGCUCUAGGUAAGAGGUGCUUUGAAUCAAAGAAUUCGAGAGAGACAUAUGGGUGAUAUUUAUAUAAGUAGUAUCUGGCGCUACGCAAAAAGGUUCAUCUCUUCGCCCACGUGACAUGAUCGAGUUGCUGCUUCGCUCUAGGUGUGUUGUAUCGUAGGCUUGAGAUGCACGGGGAAUUAUCGCCGGAGCGCCAACACGUGGCAGCGGCAAAUGAGUGUGAAAAUUAUGCAUGUGGUCUGAAUAGUG